rnacentral:rRNA from 1 species
GAUGAACGCUAGCGGCAGGCUUAAUACAUGCAAGUCGAGGGGCAACAGGGGUAGCAAUACCUGCUGGCGACCGGCAAACGGGUGCGGAACACGUACAGAACCUUCCUUUAAGCGGGGGAUAGCCCAUAGAAAUGUGGAUUAAUACCCACUAGUAAUGUUGUCUGGCAUCAGAUGACAUUUAAAGUAUUAUCACUUAAAGAUGGCUGUGCGGCUGAUUAGGUUAGNGGUUGGUGGGUAACGGCCCACCAAGCCAGCGAUCAGUAACUGGUGUGAGAG